AUGUCCGGCAUGCUGAGAUGGAAGAAGGUAAAGCAUAUAGCACAGCUCAACCAGCGGUUCACUCAAGUAUCCGCAAUCUCCACGCACCUCAACCACUUGAAUAUUCAUCAUCGCCGAAGAAGAGAGUCUCUCAUCGGAGUGCAGGCGCGCUACAAGUGGGAUCACGGCGGCUCCGGCUCCGGCGAUGCCCGCUCCACCCGUAAAAUCAGGGCAGAGGCCAACUGCCCCCGGUGCUCCUUCAACCGCAUGGACCUCAUCUUCUCCGAUCGCCGCUUAUCUAACUUAUCUCCGGACGAUGCCGCCGGCAAGACCACCUCUGAGCUUCAGUAUCAGGCCCUCAAUCUCUGCCCCAAUUGCAAGACCGCCUACUACUUCCGACCUCACCUGAUUGCUCCCCUCCAAGGCACUUUCGUGGAGAUUGGGAGGCUCACCAACACUAACCCAACCUCUUCCAAUCGCCAAACCGCCACCAAAAUCAAAACCAAUUCCAAUUCUAGUACCUCAAACGACGAUCCUCUGCGGGCAACCUUCUGGGACACUUUGAGAUCAUUUGCUAAUGCGAAUGAGCCACCUGGCCCUCCCAAUGGACUUGCCGUGCAUACGCCCCCGGGCCACCUUUCGCACCCGGAGUCAAUGUCAUUCGGGCUACCGGAGAUGCCCCCGAUGCUGGCGACAACAAGGCCUGGGGCGGCUCCAAUUUGGGAAAGGAUUUGCCCACGCCUAAGGAGAUCUGCAAGGCUCUCGAUAAGUUCGUCAUUGGCCAACAAAGAGCCAAAAAGGUGCUUUCUGUAGCCGUUUAUAACCACUACAAACGAAUUUAUCAAUCCUCCUUGCCCAAAGGGUCAGCUGCAGAACCUGCAAGUCCAAACACAAUAGAUAAAGAAGACAGUGUAGAGCUAGAAAAGAGCAAUGUUCUCUUGAUGGGCCCAACUGGAUCUGGGAAGACAUUGCUUGCAAAAACACUAGCUCGAUUUGUGAAUGUGCCAUUCGUCAUUACUGAUGCAACAAAUUUAACACAGGCUGGUUAUGUUGGGGAAGAUGUUGAAUCAAUAUUGCAAAAAUUAUUGGCGGCAGCUGACUUCAAUGUUCAAGCAGCUCAACAAGGGAUUGUUUACAUUGAUGAAGUUGACAAGAUAACUAAGAAGGCUGAGAGCUUAAACAUUAGCAGAGAUGUUUCCGGAGAGGGCGUUCAGCAGGCUUUACUGAAAAUGCUUGAAGGAACUAUAGUGAACGUUCCUGAGAAGGGUGCGAGGAAGCAUCCACGGGGUGAUAACAUACAGAUAGAUACAAAAGAUAUCCUUUUUAUUUGUGGUGGAGCAUUUGUAGAUCUUGAAAAAACCAUUUCAGAGAGACGACAAGAUUCUUCUAUUGGAUUUGGUGCUCCUGUGCGUGCCAAUAUGAGAGCUGGUGGUGUAACUAACGCAAUAGUGACAUCAUCUUUACUUGAAUCGGUUGAAAGUGCUGAUCUCAUUGCAUAUGGACUCAUACCAGAGUUUAUUGGGCGUUUUGCAAUAUUAGUUAGUUUAUCUGCAUUAACUGAAGACCAACUUGUUGAGGUACUCACGGAACCAAAAAAUGCCCUUGGUAAGCAGUACAAGAAACUAUUUAGCAUGAACAAUGUGAAGCUGCAUUUCACGGACAAAGCUCUAAGACUCAUGGCAAAGAAAGCGAUGGCUAAGAAUACUGGUGCCAGGGGAUUAAGAGCGAUAUUGGAAAGUGUUCUAACUGAAGCCAUGUAUGAGAUUCCGGAUAUUAAAACAGGAGAAGAUAGAAUAGAUGCUGUAGUGGUUGAUGAGGAGUCUGUGGGUUCAGGAAGUUCCCUAGGAUGUGGAGGGAAGAUUAUUCGAGGGGAUGGGGCAUUGGAAAGAUACCUACGUGAAAUAAAGCUGAAAGAAUCAGUGGAGUACGUGGAGGCCGCUGAAGGGGAGUCAGAGGGGGAAUCAGAACAUUCCAGAGCUAUGAGCAUGUAACAGUAAUACCAUCAUAGUUAUAGUGUAAGAUCUCUUUAUUGUUAUUUGUAAAAUUAACAUUCAUAAUCUGUUGUAAAUACCCCAAUAUAGAAUGAUAUAGUUUCUGAUUCAAAUUAACCAGAAAAGAAAGAAAGGAGGCAAAAAAUGUAUACUUGAUGUCCUCAAUUAUUUCUUGGUGAAAAAUAUCCUCGUACGUGUUUUCUUG